CCUACGGGAGGCAGCAGUGGGGAAUUUUGCGCAAUGGGGGAAACCCUGACGCAGCAACGCCGCGUGAGUGAUGAAGGCCUUAGGGUUGUAAAGCUCUUUCAGCUGGGAAGAUAAUGACGGUACCAGCGGAAGAAGCCCCGGCUAACUCCGUGCCAGCAGCCGCGGU
rnacentral:rRNA from 1 species